UUGACAGGUUGUGCCUGAAAUGUGAUAUUCGCAAGACAGUUGUUCACCCUGCCGUGAUACCCUUGAUUUACUACGCAGGGGACGCCGGCGCUACAACACACAAGAUCAUGUGGCAACUCGCUCCCACAAACGCUCACGCGGUCUCACGCUCAUAGGUUCUAGCUCAUCCAGGUUGUGCCAUCGGGGCAGCUAGUUUUAUGGUUACCUGUCCUCUUAGUGAUCGGUGAACUCUUCGCUUGUGCACGUGUGUUCGCCGUCGCUUCCUGCGAUGGCCCUUCCACGCUUUUCAGCGGCGACUUGUAGCACCGACGCCACAACCGACAUUUGAACCGGACAAACUUCCUAACAAGAUUAGUUCCCUGGCCCAUAGGCCUGGAGGCACUGUGCAGGAAAGUACGGCUGUGAACAGCUAGGUGCCCUGAAGAGACCUGUAGGACUACAGCAUGACGUUCAGAAGUCCUAGGUCAUCGCUAUAUGGCAGGACUUUCAAAAUGCGUUUUGGUGGUACCUACCAAACGGCCACCUUCCCUUCCAUCUUGGAGGUGCGCGAAAGCUGUGACUGCUAAUACGCAUGCGCCGGUGUGCUCCGGAGACGAGCGCAACACCAAGUUCACAGAAUAAGAUGAUCGUUCAAAAUGAAAACUGCAUUGCCCGAAGCAGGAGCGCGGUCCAGUCCAGUGGCCUGCUUGGGCACUUCUGGUCGCUUUGAGCAUGGGCAUGGGCACCGUGCCGGAGGGUGUUCCUUCAUGAUUGCAUAACUAUCGACACCCUGUCGUAUUGGGUGCCGCCGCAAGAGGUGGACCUCUUCUAUCUCUCUUGCGGAGCAACGAUGACUGCCUGACUGACUGCCGCUCCCGAACGACACGACCUUUUGUCAUCUUUGUUUUUAAUCUAUCUCAUCCUUCUUUCACUGUUUAUUGGUUUAUCCUUUAUGUCCUUGUCUCUUUUCUUUUUUAUUUAUCAUAGUCUUCUUUUAUUUUAUUUCCUUGCGGAAUAGCAAGCGGACGUCC